rnacentral:rRNA from 1 species
UACGAAGGGGCUAGCGUUGCUCGGAAUCACUGGGCGUAAAGGGUGCGUAGGCGGGUCUUUAAGUCAGGGGUGAAAUCCUGGAGCUCAACUCCAGAACUGCCUUUGAUACUGAAGAUCUUGAGUUCGGGAGAGGUGAGUGGAACUGCGAGUGUAGAGGUGAAAUUCGUAGAUAUUCGCAAGAACACCAGUGGCGAAGGCGGCUCACUGGCCCGAUACUGACGCUGAGGCACGAAAGCGUGGGGAGCAAACAGGG